rnacentral:rRNA from 1 species
ACCUACGGGAGGCAGCAGUGGGGAAUAUUGCACAAUGGGGGAAACCCUGAUGCAGCGACGCCGCGUGAGUGAAGAAGUAUUUCGGUAUGUAAAGCUCUAUCAGCAGGGAAGAUAAUGACGGUACCUGACUAAGAAGCCCCGGCUAACUACGCGCCAGCAGCCGCGGUAAUACGUAGGGGGCAAGCGUUAUCCGGAUUUACUGGGUGUAAAGGGUGCGUAGGUGGCAUGGCAAGUCAGAAGUGAAAGCCCGGGGCUCAACCGCGGGACUGCUUUUGAAACUGUGUAGCUAGAGUGCAGGAGAGGUA